GUACUUUGGAGGAUGGCUGAUGUUUGCCUUUUCAAGAGAUGUAUCAUGGACUGUUUUUGUUAAACUAACUUAGCUUCAAGAAUUUGAGACUAACUCAGAUUUUCUCAAACAGUGGGGGAUUUGAUGCAGCAAUAUGCAGGCAUGGGAUAUCAGAAAGAGCCAGAUAACCAAAGGAAGAGUAGUAGCUGAAGCGGGAUUCUAAGACCAAGAAUAUUAAUUUCAGGGCAGAAGAGAUUUUUGCUGUUUCGGUCGUGGCAUUAUCUCCAGUAUUUAUGUGCCUGGAACAUAUUAGGUACUUAAUAAAUAUU
rnacentral:lncRNA from 1 species